rnacentral:tRNA from 1 species
GGCUAUGACUUAGUGAUUGAGCAUCUGCCUGGCAUCUGGAAGGUCCCAGGUUCAAUCCCUGGCAUCUCCA